rnacentral:rRNA from 1 species
ACGGGUGAGUAAUGUCUGGGAAACUGCCUGAUGAGGGGGAUAACUACUGGAAACGGUAGCUAAUACCGCAUAACGUCGCAAGACCAAANAGGGGGACCUUCGGGCCUCUUGCCAUCAGAUGUGCCCAGAUGGGAUUAGCUAGUAGGUGGGGUAACGGCUCACCUAGGUGACGAUCCCUAGCUGGUCUGAGAGGAUGACCAGCCACACUGGAACUGAGACACGGUCCAGACUCCUACGGGAGGCAGCAUG